UACGUAGGGUGCAAGCGUUAAUCGGAAUUACUGGGCGUAAAGCGUGCGCAGGCGGCUUUGCAAGACAGAUGUGAAAUCCCCGGGCUUAACCUGGGAACUGCAUUUGUGACUGCAUGGCUGGAGUGCGGCAGAGGGGGAUGGAAUUCCGCGUGUAGCAGUGAAAUGCGUAGAGAUGUGGAGGAACACCGAUGGCGAAGGCAGCCUCCUGGGCCAGCACUGACGCUCAUGCACGAAAGCGUGGGGAGCAAACAGG
rnacentral:rRNA from 1 species